rnacentral:rRNA from 3 species
GAACUUUCCAGAGAUGGAUUGGUGCCUUCGGGAACUGUGAGACAGGUGCUGCAUGGCUGUCGUCAGCUCGUGUUGUGAAAUGUUGGGUUAAGUCCCGCAACGAGCGCAACCCUUAUCCUUUGUUGCCAGCGGUCCGGCCGGGAACUCAAAGGAGACUGCCAGUGAUAAACUGGAGGAAGGUGGGGAUGACGUCAAGUCAUCAUGGCCCUUACGACCAGGGCUACACACGUGCUACAAUGGCGCAUACAAAGAGAAGCGACCUCGCGAGAGCAAGCGGACCUCAUAAAGUGCGUCGUAGUCCGGAUUGGAGUCUGCAACUCGACUCCAUGAAGUCGGAAUCGCUAGUAAUCGUGGAUCAGAAUGCCACGGUGAAUACGUUCCCGGGCCUUGUACACACCGCCCGUCACACCAUGGGAGUGGGUUGCAAAAGAAGUAGGUAGCUUAACCUUCGGGAGGGCGCUUACCACUUUGUGAUUCAUGACUGGGGUGAAGUCGUAACAAGGUAACCGUAGGGGAACCUGCGGUUGGAUCACCUCCUUA